rnacentral:tRNA from 1 species
GCUUAGGUGAUGCAAAAGGUUAAUGUGCUCAGCUGCUAACCAAGAGGUUGGAGGUUCGAAUCCUCUCAGAGGUG